ensembl:snoRNA
AGGCACUGCCUUGGAGCCUCUGCAAGUCUGGUCAUGGCCUUAGGGGCUGCACAGCAGUGCCAGAGCAGACCCAGCUUGUUCAGAUCCAGGCUUCUUAGAUGCCGCCUAAGCAAUUCCUUUGGCAGCAAGAGACAUGC